rnacentral:rRNA from 1 species
CAAUGGGAGUUGGUUCUGCCUGAAGACAGUGUGCUAACCGCAAGGAGGCAGCUGGCCACGGCAGGGUCAAUGACUGGUGCU